CAGACCACGGCCAAGGGGCUGCCCCGGCGGCUCCCGUCGGUCCCGGACAUGGACCCUGCCCUCCAGGCGCACAACACCUCCGGCUGUGUCUGCCCCGUGCGCCCCGGCCCUCCCGGCCCUCCCGGCCCAAAGGGAGAGAAGGGUGACCGAGGGUUCCCCGGAGAGAGAGGCCAGCCCGGAUUCUUAGGGGAGAGGGGGAAGCCCGGCAGCCCAGGACAGCCGGGUCACCAGGGUCCCCGGGGCCCUCCGGGACCACCGGGACCCCCGGGACCCCCAGGUGCUGGGGGAGCCCGGGG